GGAGUUUGGUCCGUGUCUCAGUACCAAUGUGGGGGACCUUCCUCUCAGAACCCCUACUGAUCGUCGCCUUGGUAGGCCGUUACCCCACCAACCAGCUAAUCAGACGCAGACCCAUCGCAAAGCGAUAGCUUACAAGUAGAGGCCAUCUUUAAUCAAGCUCCCAUGCGGAAACUUGACAACAUUCGGUAUUAGCACCCCCUUUCGGGAUGUUGUCCCCCAUCUUUGCGGCAGGUUGUCUACGCGUUACUCACCCGUUUGCCACUCGGUUCUCAAAAGCAAGCUUUCAAUCACCUCGUUCGACUUGCAUGUGUUAAGCACGCCGCCAGCGUUCGUCCUCGAGCCACUGAUCAAACUACU
rnacentral:rRNA from 1 species